rnacentral:rRNA from 1 species
UACGUAGGGUGCAAGCGUUGUCCGGAAUUAUUGGGCGUAAAGAGCUCGUAGGUGGUUCGGUAAGUCGGAUGUGAAAUCUCCAGGCUCAACCUGGAGGGGUCAUUCGAUACUGCCGUGACUAGAGGUCGGUAGGGGAGUGUGGAAUUCCUGGUGGAGCGGUGAAAUGCGCAGAUAUCAGGAGGAACACCCGUAGCGAAGGCGGCACUCUGGGCCGAUACUGACGCUGAGGAGCGAAAGCGUGGGGAGCGAACAGG